GAGUAAAGUAUCGGAACGUGCCCAGUCGUGGGGGAUAACGCAGCGAAAGUUGUGCUAAUACCGCAUACGAUCUAUGGAUGAAAGCGGGGGAUCGCAAGACCUCGCGCGAUUGGAGCGGCCGAUAUCAGAUUAGCUAGUUGGUGGGGUAAAGGCUCACCAAGGCGACGAUCUGUAGCUGGUCUGAGAGGACGACCAGCCACACUGGGACUGAGACACGGCCCAGACUCCUACGGGAGGCAGCAGUGGGGAAUUUUGGACAAUGGGCGCAAGCCUGAUCCAGCAAUGCCGCGUGCAGGAUGAAGGCCUUCGGGUUGUAAACUGCUUUUGUACGGAGCGAAAAGGCUCUCUCUAAUACAGGGGGCUCAUGACGGUACCGUAAGAAUAAGCACCGGCUA
rnacentral:rRNA from 1 species